ACUGGGAUAGCUCAGAUAGUAGAUCAUGAGACUUUUAAUCUUGGGGCCAUGGGUUUGAGCCCCACAUUGGGUA